CCUCCAUGCAGGUCUGUUCGUUGUGCAACCCACGCUGCUGCACUCAGUUGCCCGCGUCUCAUCAGCCGCCCGGAUCUACUACUCGUUCCGCUGAAGCGUCACAGCCACACCUUGUCGUUCGCGUAUCUCCGCCGCGCGUGCCACCAGGUCCGUUCUUUGCCAGCUGCCGCCAACCCAUGUCUAUCGUGGAUCUCCAUCCGUGUCAUGCUACCAUCGUUCGUGGAUGGAUCUCAUCUGUUGCAUAAAAAAAAAAAAGAAAAGAAAAACGGUAGCAGCAGAGAAGAAGAAGGAAAGAAAAAGAAAAGAAAAAGGAUGAAAGAUGAAAUACCAUCCCAAUUACUUCGGUAAAAUUGGCUUAGGUUAUUGGGCUGACCACAGUUUGCCUUGGAAAUAUCGAUAUUGGGUGAAGGUUAGUUCUCCACCUUUUGUGUGUUGAUUACUCUUUGUUUUUGCAAGUUAGCAAUUUAGAAGAAGUAGCUAUAUCAUCAAAGCUAAUUAAAUGUGAUAAAUGAAAAGUGGUUUCUUUGGCUAAAGGCUACAGCCUACAAUCUUUCUUCUUCCCUCCCUUUUUCACUUAGAUCCUGCCUUUUCAUGGCUAGUCUUUCCAAUCAGCUAUGGUUUAUGAGAAUCUCUUUCAACAUCUUAUCUGGUACUUUUUCUCUCCAUGAGAUCUUGGUAUAUAUACAUUGAUCGAUGGCUUCGACAUUCAUUGGUGUAGCCCCUUGGGUGGGCUAUGAAAUUCUUAUCCAUUCCAACCUCUACUCUUUUUUGCUCACUUGCAGAGCCAAGUUAUCUAUCAUCACUCAAUUUCGUUUUAAAUGCUAAUUUAGCAUUUCUUCUAGAAAUGUGUAUCUGAUUGAAAAUACUUUUCUAAGCAUAUUCUAUCAGAUUUCUAGAGAGGAGAAUUUGUGGGGUGACAUUAAGCUGGUGCACAUUAUAAAAUGUAGAUGAAAUCAACAUGAUAAUAAAGCUUGUUUCUUUUCUCUUUCUUAUCAAAAAAAAUUAUAGUAAUAAUAAUAAUAACAAUGCAACAUUUUUCUUGAAUGUCUAGAAUGUUAUUUGGUGUCUCCAUGUAAAUGUAGAAUAUGGUAAGUCAAAUCAUUGUCAAUAUUUUAUAUAUAGGAUGUCAGUUUUUACUCGACAUACUAGCUUUUGGCCAUUUUUCUACAUGGUCUCUGCUCACAAUCUUUUGAUAUGAGCCAUCCAACUAGAUUAUAAUGUUGUAUCAUUGAUUUUUUUAUAGAUACUUGUAGAAAAAUGAUCUAGUUUGAAGGUUUUUUUUUCAUAAGUUAUUCCACACACAAUAUUUCAUUUGGGAGCAACUUUCAGAAUCUAAAACUGAAAUGUUGUAUGAUUUAAGAUUGUACUCAUACUUUUGUUAUUGUGUUGUUGUUUCCAAAGAAGACAGAGGUAAGAUGGGUAUUUGUGUUUGUUUACUUUAAGAUUUUUAUUCUAGUAGUACUUCAAAACUCUCCUUGUAAGUUUCUUCGGAUAUUCUUCGCAUAGGAUAGUGUAGGGAUUUGUUGAGUCAUUUCGUAACUUUUGAGAAAUAGAAGUGUUAUGAAAUUGUUUCUAUUAUUGUUUCUGGACAAUUUAUGAAUUUGAAGAAGCAACAAAAUUUAAUUCGUAUUAGAGAAAAUCUCUUUUUCCAAAUACUAUAGGUCUUGAAGAACAUUGCUCGGAGAAGAGCAAAUGUCAAGAACAUCAUUUUGAUGUUUAUAAGAAAUGCAAGAAGAGAGAGGUAUUUUCUUAACUUAGUUAUGUGUAAAUCCUAAUCUAUUUAUUGAUUGUUGGAUGUUUAGAUUUUGUUAUUGCUCCAUAGAACUACAUGCUAGAUUUAUGAUAUGUUUGCAUCUAUUAGGUAUUUUAUUCAUUAUUAGCUUUUCUUGAAGUAUUUAUAGAAAGAGUCUAACUUUAAGGACAUGGUUUAUUGUGAAAUUUGUUUGGAUUGAUGGAAUUUUGAAUUUUGCUGAGUUUUUGUUUUUUGGCUUUUCUUUUCAUUGAUAGGAAUGAAUCCAUGAAUCUCGAGUUAUAAGAUCAAAUGCCCAUGGGACAACUUUUGAGAUUUGAAAUCAAGUGCAACAAAGGAGUAAAGAUUUGGUAUCAGAACCUCUUUAUGCUUUUUCUUGGGAACUCUAUAUCCAACACAUUCACUACAAGAAUUUCGCCUUGAAUAUGCUUGAAUAUGCUUCAAGAUCCAAAUGCAAGAAAGGCCCUCACUUCUGUAGACAAGUUUGAGAUGUGAGGAGAUGGUCUUCAGACAAGAUCUAUCACUUUUAUUGAUGAAUGUGUAGAAGGUGUCCUAAGUCAUGCUUUUGAUUUGGAUCAAAUUUGUGGUGGAUGGUGGAGAGAACAUAACGAAGGAGCACUUGAAAGACUAUUUGGAAAACACUACAUAAUGACAACAAGUGUGUGCACUUUUGUUUUGUUUUUUUUUGUUUUUUUGUUUUUUUUUCGCGGGGGGGAGGAUAUUUACAAGUUUUAGUUUGUAUUUUAUAGUUUAAUAGUAAGUUCUCGCUCUUAUUUGAAUCAAAAUUUUAAUUUUGCUAUGUAA